rnacentral:rRNA from 1 species
AUGCCCAGGAGGUUCGGCUCCUCCUCGUCGUCCUCCUCGCACUCCUCCUCACGGGCUUCUUCCCAUUCCUCCGGCUCUUCGGCGCUGCUCGGCGUCAAGGCCGAGCCCGCGGCGGAGACGCCGCUCGGCCGGCGCACUCGAAGCGCAGGCAUCGUCAUCAACGAGGGCGGCCGGCGCGCCUCCUCGUCGGCUCUUCCGCGCUUCGUCAAGCCAAAGACGGAGCCGGGUCUCCCCGCCGUGAAGAUGGAGUACGGCGACGUGGAGCUUGACGACGACGCGGCCCUGGAAUGGGCGCGCAAGGACUCCUGA